rfam:Gossypium hirsutum cultivar TM-1 chromosome 13, whole genome shotgun sequence
AACCCAUGGUGAAGGCAUCUAUUCAAAAGGUCCUUAUAUCUCUCCUAUGCAUCGUAAAGUGUUUCUAAAUCCAUCUGUAUAAAAGAAGAGAUAUCAUUACAUAAUUU